UGCCAGCCGCCGCGGUAAUACGUAGGAUGCGAGCGUUGUCCGGAAUCACUGGGCGUAAAGGGUCCGUAGGCGGUUUGGUAAGUCUCCUGUGAAAACUCAGAGCUCAACUCUGAGACGUCGGGGGAUACUGCUGAACUUGAGACUGUCAGAGGCAGGUGGAAUUCCCGGUGUAGUGGUGAAAUGCGUAGAUAUCGGGAGGAACACCAGUGGCGAAAGCGGCCUGCUGGGACAGUUCUGACGCUGAGGGACGAAAGCGUGGGGAGCAAACCGGAUUAGAUA
rnacentral:rRNA from 1 species